GAUGAACGCUAGCGGGAGGCUUAACACAUGCAAGUCGAGGGGCAGCACGAGAUAGCAAUAUUUUGGUGGCGACCGGCGCACGGGUGAGUAACACGUAUGCAACCUACCCUGUACAGGGGGAUAACCCGGAGAAAUUCGGACUAAUAUCCCAUAAAGAUAAUGAUGGGCAUCCAUUAUUAUUUAAAGCUCAGGCGGUACGGGAUGGGCAUGCGGAACAUUAGCUAGUUGGCAGGGUAACGGCCUACCAAGGCAGCGAUGUUUAGGGGACCUGAGAGGGUGAUCCCCCACACUGGUACUGAGACACGGACCAGACUUCCUACGGGUGGCUG
rnacentral:rRNA from 1 species